AGCAGGGCUGACCGCACCCUGUUCCAGUGAUCCAAACAAGUGACCAAGCCCAGAUAAUCUGCGCAUUCCAUCUGCCUGGCCAGACUGCUAUUCAGGGACAGGCUUGUGGGAAAUCUCUGUGAGCGAAGGACUCUUGCCCUGGGGUCGCUGAGCUGAUAGAAAUGUCGGCCUAGCAUUGCUGGUGCCCAUCCUUGCCACCACUUGUGAAGAGCCUGCUUGAGAGUGAAUCAAGACAAAGGAAGACAAAAUCAAGAUAUGGAGAGAGAACCUGAAUACGGAUGACAAGAUUUCUCCACAUCUUCCUCUUCUGUGAUCCAUGACGAUUCCAAGGUUGUGAUUCCUCCCUGUGGCCAUGACAGAGAACUCCCGUGGCUCAAGGAGUCUACCUGCUAAGUCGCCUGCUGUUUCUCGUCAUGGCUUCUUGGAAGCAGGGCCAGCCUGCCAAAGCCAAGAGAAAAUUCAUCUGCAGAUCAAGAAGCAGAACUGGACACGCUCACCCCUUCAGCAGGCCUUCUAGGCCUCUGGGGACCAUCAAAAAAGUGCCCCAUAGUAGCUCCCCCAUCUAUCCUGGGUCUGGGAAUACAGCCAAGCACAAGGCUUAGAGAUAAUCAGGACCCUAUGGUAUUGGCUGGAAAAAAACUCUAACCUUGAUCACAUUCCAGUUUCUCUCUCCUGAUGUCUCUGGCUACCUGUAAGCUGAAGAAGAGGAAAGGAGAUUGCAGGAAGAACCUCAGUUAAGAUUGCAUGCCUGCAUGCGCAUGUGCGGGUGCACACACGCACAACAAACACACGAACCAAAAAUAAACGAACGAACAGUGGUCUCCAUGCUUGACUUGCUGCCAGGAAUAGUAGGCACUGAAAGAACAAGAAGCAGUUACCAAGAAGAACCUGCAUCCACAAAGCAAAGCUCUGAUGAGUAGCUGACAAACGGAAGCCUAAAUAGGUUUUCAGAAGCUUCGACUGAGGGCUUCAGUCAGCAGGAGCAUCAAUCACGACACUGAGGAUUUGAGAAGAAAGAAACACCAAUUAAACUCAUGGCCACUAUCCUGAGAUACCAAUAUUACAAAUCUGAUCUUGACCAAAAUACCUCUAAAACCAAAAGAAAAUGUCCUGCUUACUAGAAAAAUAUUUUCUCUGCCCUCUUGAGGCUGUAACACAUUGAAUGGAUACUACAAAAAGAGGUAAAACCAUGCUUAAGCAGACUCUUUAAAUAAUGAAUUAAAGAGGAAGACAAUAUUGCUUGUCAGUAAUCCCUGAACUUCAUCUCUAAAGGCCUUAAAAGAUGAUGAAAAUUGACAAAUUAUUAGGCGGCUGUUAAAUGUGGUUAUUAGGAAAACUACAUAGAAACAUGGGUAAAUAAUCCUUAAAUAAUGCUGAGUGAAAAAUUAAAAAUAUAAAACAUUUGGAAUUAUACUAAUAGCCUAGAUUUAUUAAGAAUUUAUAAUUGAACCCCCCCCCCCCCCCACACACACACAUAUGGGUGUGGAUUAGAAUGGAAAUGGUUGUAUCAAGAUACAAGAUUUAGAGUAAUCUUUUUUAUUUUCUGGAAAAUUUUCUUUGCUAUUAUCACAGCAAUUUAUCAAAUAAAAUAAAUAUGAUCAACGAAUUAAUUCCAGUGGAAAAACAAACUGAUGAAUGCCCAAAUUACUGCUAUGGAUUUUCACAUGCUCUGUUGUGUGUCCAAAUUUAUAAUGGAAAAGCAUUGACACGAAAGUUAACUUCUAUGGAAAACAACAACAAAGAAAUCACUUUGUAAGCUUAAAAAAAUAAAAGAAAAGAAGGGGUUUGGGUUUGAAAGCUUGAAAAGAAAAUUUAAUUUACAGCAGGAUUCAUUUCACACACAGUGGCAUGAAGGGACCAUGAGGACCCUGCAGCUAUUCUGGUGAGUCCCGUGCAAGGCCCACGGUGCGGGAGCUUUGCAGUGGGGAGGUCUGUAUUCAGACUCAGUUCUCCCACUUACUAGCUGUAGGGUUUGUUUUUUUUUU